GUGGGGAAUAUUGGACAAUGGGCGCAAGCCUGAUCCAGCCAUGCCGCGUGAGUGAUGAAGGCCUUAGGGUUGUAAAGCUCUUUCAGUAGGGAAGAUAAUGACGGUACCUACAGAAGAAGCCCCGGCUAACUUCGUGCCAGCAGCCGCGGUAAUACGAAGGGGGCUAGCGUUGUUCGGAUUUACUGGGCGUAAAGCGCACGUAGGCGGAUUGGUCAGUUAGAGGUGAAAUCCCGAAGCUCAACUUCGGAACUGCUUUUAAUACUGACAGUCUCGAGUCCGGAAGAGGUGAGUGGAACUCCUAGUGUAGAGGUGGAAUUCGUAGAUAUUAGGAAGAACACCAGUGGCGAAGGCGGCUCACUGGUCCGGUACUGACGCUGAGGUGCGAAAGCGUGGGGAGCAAACAGGAUUAGAAACCCCGGUAGUCC
rnacentral:rRNA from 1 species